rnacentral:lncRNA from 1 species
GGCCAGUGAGUGGGGUGGAGCGCGGCCGGCGGCCGCCCCCGGCCGGUCUCGGGCCCGCAGCCCGCCCGCCUGAGCCUCGGCCGGCCCGGCCCGGGGCGGCGGCCGGAGCCCGGAGUGCGCGCCCGGCUCCCCUCCCCCCGCGGGUGCCAGCCUCUGGCCCCGCCCGGUGCCCCCCUCACCCCUGUGCCACGGCCGGCUGGGGUUCCUGGGGAUGGGAUUUGCUUCCUGUCACAAAUCACAUUGCCAGGGAUUUCCAACCGACCCUGAGCUCUGCCACCGAGGAUGCUGCCCGGGGACGGGGUGGCAGAGAGGCCCCGAAGCCUGUGCCUGGCCUGAGGAGCAGGGCUUAGCUGCUUGUGAGCAGGGUCCACACCAAGUCGUGUUCACAGUGGCUAAGUUCCGCCCCCCAGGCCCUCACCUCCUCUGGCCUUGCCGCCUGUCCCCUGCUGCCGCCUGUCUGCCUGCCAUCCUGCUGCCUGGCCUCCCUGGGCUCUGCCUCCCGUGCCUACUGAGCUGAAACACAGUUGGUUUGUGUACACUGGCUCAGUUCAGCAGGAACAGGGGUCAAGCCCCCUUGGAGCCUGCAGCCCCUGCCUUCCCUGGGUGGGCUGAUGCUUGGAGCAGAGAUGAGGACUCAGAAUCAGACCUGUGUCUGGAGGAGGGAUGUGGUGGGUGGGGUUGGCUGGGCCCAAAUGUGUGCUGCAGGCCCUGAUCCCCAACUCUGCAACUGGGGACCCCUGCAUGGCCACAGCUCAGGCUGGGCUGUGGUGCCAGCAUAGAUAGGUGGGUGAGUGGGUGGCCCUUCCAUUAAAAGGGAAGCCAGCUGUGUCCUUUCCGGGCCUGGAGGCUUGGCCCCUCCUCUCCCAAGCCUGGCAGGGGCACUGGCCCGGCCCGCACCUUCCUAGCAGCCAGUUACCCAAGAGGAAGCUGCCUUGGGCCUCCAGACCGUUAAAUGCCAACUCCUGGCUUCCGGUAUCAGGCUGGGUUGACCUGACCUGGCCCCUUCUUGCUGGGCCCUGCAGCUUUCUAACUUGCCGGGAGGAGCAGUGACACCCGCCCCACAUGUGGGGCAUGGAACAAGUUCCUUGUGGACCCAGAAGGGACACAAGCAGGUGUGCUUAGUCCUGAGGCGCUGGGAAUAGCUGAUCCUCCCUGCCUUGAGGGGGUUCUCAGGGCAGGGAAGAGUUAGGACUCUGUUUUUUUUUUUUUGUUUUUUUUUUUUUGAGAUGGAGUCUCGCACUGUCACCCGGGCUGGAGUGCAAUGGCUCGAUCUCGGCUCACUGCAACCUCCACCUCCCCAGUUCACACGAUUCUCCUGCCUCAGCCUCCCAAGUAGCUGGGAUUACAGGUGCACACCACCGCACCUGGCUAAUUUUUGUAUUUUUAGUAGAGACCGAGUUUCGCCAUGUUGGCCAGGCUGGUCUCGAACUCUUGACCUCAGGUGAUCUGCCCGCCUCAGCCACCCAAAGUGUUGGGAUUACAGGCAUGAGCCACUGCGCCCGGCCAAUUUUUUUUUAUGUUUUGUAGAGACGGGGUUUCGCCAUGUUACCCAGACUGGUCUUGAACUCCUGACCUCAAGCAAUCUGCUCGUCUUAGCCUCCCAAAGUGCUGGGAUUACAGCUGUGAGCCACCGUGCCUGGCCUUUUAUUGUUUGUUUUUGAGACGGAGUCUCACUCUGUUGCCCAGGCUGAAGUGCAGUGGUGUGAUCUUGGCUCACUGCAACCUCUGCCUCCUGGGUUCAAGCGAUUCUCCUGCCUCAGCCUCCUGAGUAGCUGGGCUUACAGGCACCCACCACCAUGCCCGGCUAAUCUUUGUAUUUUUAGUAGAGACGGGGUUUCACCAUCUUGGCCAGGCUGGUGUGAUCAUGGCUCAUUGCAACCUUGAAUUCCUGGGCACAAGUGAUCCUCCUGCCUUAGCCUCCCCAGUAGAGCUGGGACUACAGGUAUGCGCCACCACACCUGGCUAAUUUUUUUAAUUUUAAUUUUUGUAGAGAUGGGGGGGCAGGUCUCACUAUGUUGCCCAGGCUGUUCUCGAACUCCUGGCCACAAGCCAUCCUCCCACCUUAGUCUCCCAAUGCGCCGGAAUUACAGGUGGCUCAGGUGUGAGCCACCGUGCCUGGCUUUUCUCCACUAUCUUGAAAUCAGAUGGGAGGAGGCUUUUUUCUGGGUGGGACUGAGGAGGCACACUGAAGUCCCCCAGGUCAUCGGGGCUGGGCCAUUGCCUUUUUCCCCACCCUGGGUAGUCGUGGACAGAAGCUUGGGAUGGGAUGGAGAGGAGAGAUCGUGCUGUGUGUCAUGUCUGUUGUUCAAGUAAAUAAAAGUUGCCCUGACUUCAUUCCUGAAGGUCUGGUCUGUGAUUCACUCCUGCCUCCCAUCGCUGGAGUUUCAGCUUUUGAUUGGCCUGAAUUUACCAUCCUGGCACUCCGGGCUCCUGCCUGCCCAUCCCUGCCCCACCUGCUCUGUGCAGCAGGGUAUCCUGUGCUUGGAAAGGUGACCUUGGGGGUGUCCUGGAUCGUGGGGUGACCAUGAGGGAAACCCUAGAGUGGAAAGAUUUUCACAUCGCUGAUCAAGGGAGGAUGGAAGCUGAUCUGAAGUGGUGGUGGUGGGGUGACCCUGAGGGAAACGCUGAGCCUGAGGGGUGACAUGUGGCGAUAACCAGGAUCUGAGGGUCUUGAGCUAGUGACAUUUGGGGGCAACUUGGACCUACGGGAUUACUCAGGCCUCAGGGGAAGAUUUGGGGUGCCUGGUAUCUGAGAAUGCUGGAGGGGAACUUGGGUUUGAGGGAUGUGACAUGAAGGAAACCCCAGUUCUUAAGGGGGGACAUUUGGAUGUGGCUGGGACCUGCGUGACGCCCCAGGAACAUGGGAACAUUCGUGGGUGACACCUGAGGGGCACAGUAAAGGGUCCCCCAGGUCCGAAGGCGGCAGGGACCACAAGGGG